rnacentral:misc_RNA from 1 species
GGAUGAUGACUAUAUACAAGAUGACUUUAACCUUUGUGGGCUAAGCAGCCAAGUUCCAUACUAUGAUUAUGCUCUUGAUUUGAUUCUGGAUGUUGAGUCCUCUAAUGGUGAUAUGUUUACAGAGGAACAGAAUGAACUAAUUGAAUCUGCAGCUGAAAUGCUUUACGGUCUAAUUCAUGCGAGAUACAUAUUGACAAGUAAAGGCAUGGCUGCUAUGCUGG